ACACGUAGGUAACCUACCCUCAGGACUGAGAUAACCCCGGGAAACUGGGGCUAAUAUUAGAUAGAUAAAAGAUACUGGAAUGUUCUUUUAUCCAAAGCUUUUGCACCUGAGGAUGGGCCUGCGUCCGAUUAGGUUGUUGGUGGGGUAAUGGCCCACCAAGCCUACGAUCGGUACGGGCAGUGAGAGCUGAAGCCCGGAGUUGGGGACUGAGACAAGGCCCCAGGCCCUACGGGGCGCAGCAGGCGCGAAACCUCUGCAAUGCGGGAAACCGUGACAGGGGGAUCCCAAGUGCUCAUGCAUUGCAUGGGCUGUUCUUUGGUCUAAGUAACCAGAGGAGUAAGAGCUGGGCAAGACCGGUGCCAGCCGCCGCGGUAAUACCGGCAGCUCAAGUGGUAGCCGCGAUUAUUGGGCCUAAAGCGUUCGUAGCCGGAUAAGUAAGUCUUUGGUUAAAUCCUGCGACUUAACCGUGGGAAAUCUAGAGAUACUGCUUGUCUUGAGACCGGGAGAGGUUGGAGGUACU
rnacentral:rRNA from 1 species